rnacentral:piRNA from 1 species
AGUGAUGGAUAACAGGUCGG